rfam:Holdemania filiformis DSM 12042 genomic scaffold Scfld10, whole genome shotgun sequence.
UUUUUGACGUCUUGGUGAUUUUGUAUAAUCGUGGGAAUAAGGCUCACAAGUUUCUACCUUGCUGCCGUAAACGGCAAGACUACAAAACGAAGGCUUUUUUGU